UUCAUUUUUAAUUUUGCAUUUUGAACUUCAAAAAUACUAAUGAAAAUUAAUUUGUAACCACAAAACAAUUUUGCACUAGUCUGAAUAAUUAUUAUUCAUAAAUAAAUUAUAAUUCAUAUUAAUAAAUAUAAUAGCCUCAACAAUUAAGUUCUUUAGCCUAUUUGUUUUAGUCUGUUUAUUGUAAAACAUUAAACAAACAAAUACAUACAAACAAACGUUUCGUGCGAUUCCUCUAAAAACAGACUAGGCCACAAACUUAACGCACUUCUAAUAUAUAUAUAAACAACAACAAAAGCAACAACAACAACAAUAGCAAUAGCAAUAAUAAUCUCUCUCGGGCAGUAUAUGGUCUAGCCCUGUUAUCCAAAUGGUACAGCCAAAUCGUAUUAAAAUCCUCACCCCUCCCCCCUCCACCCCGCGCGCCUGCCCCCUCCCUCCAUCCCUCCCUCCCUCAUUGCCUCCCUCCCUUUCUCCGUGCUUUCAGACAGACUGUUUUGCUGCAGUGAACGGUAGCCGUGGAGAGAGGAAAAGGCAAGAAAAACAAGAAGACAGCGGAGGGCGGAACGAGAACCAAGACAAACAGAUCCAUUGGGACCUUAGCGUGAGCGCCAGUAGGCAUAGACGGGUCCAACACUCCAGAACCGACGGAGCCGACGGGCAUCACGAGGAGCGCUUAAAACGGUGCGUAUUGUAACCUGCCCUCCUUUUGAGCACACAGACACGCAGGGGUAUUAUUGUCGCUGAUGUUCUGGGGCUUAUGUUGGUUGGGGUGGGGGGGUUGGAGGACACCUGUCAGGUUUGUAAAUAGGGGCACGCUCGUGCUCUGGAAUGCGCUUGCAUCCGCGCGCGCCUGUCCUCCUGACGGGCGCACCGGGCAGGAAACCGUCCAACGAGCUCGGAGGUGUUAAACUAAGAGCGAAGGGAAGGGGGUUGAUAUUAAAGUGUGCUUAGGCUUACUGUUAAUGCGCUCGAUGGUUGCUUUUCCCCCCUCGCGUUUCCCCUCCCCUCCCACCAUCCCUGCCGCUCCUUCUGCAAUCAGCGCGCUCGGACUGUGUGCACCUGCUACUGUUUUCCGUGGUUCGGUGGGGCGUCCUGGUUGCGCGGGUGAGAACGGGACUGGUGCUCAGCGGGAGGUGGGGAUAAAGAGGAGAAGUGCGAGAAAAGAAGCGAUGAGUGAGGGAGGCGGUGCGGGUGGCUGCGUUUUGGGUCGCAUGUCAUACAAUUGCAGCAGGUAUCAUCAUCUCAUCCCAACAGUCGAGAUGAGGCGAGGCUUCGCUGCUCGCGCUGAACAUCAACACACACACACACACACAGUUUGACAGCCACUGUCCGUCCUUGCCUCCCUCUCUAGUAGCAAAACAAUACAGAGCAUCUUUGCGCGCGAUCGCACGCCCGCCCCGCAGGCAACGCCAUGACUUGCACAGUUCACAAAAGCGCAAUAAGAGAGAGGAAUAGGCAGCCAAACGACCUGGACUACUGUGUGAGCGCUCGCGCGCGCGCGGUUGUGGCCACGGUCGCUUGAGGCCGCGCGCUGAAUUCUCAACGGGCGACAGGUGCACCUUCCUCUCGCGAGCGGGAGAAUAAAUGAGAGCGGUGUUAAAGGCUACCAGGAGGAUGUCGGGGACAGCUCUCUACAAAGCAAAAUUCUUGUCAAGCACGCGCUCGCUUUUACGUUGCGUUUGUCAAUUCGGAGUCGUUUUCUGGGUUACUGAGUGACGAAGGGAAUGUUUUCGAUCACUGCGUCACACAUCACACACUGCGAGUGACAAGAGACGAUCAAUGGACGCACUGGGGCAGCGCGUGAGUAAAGUGUGUGUGUGUGCUCAGCAUCAGUGCGACCAAUCGGCUCUCUCCGUCUGCUAAUGAGUGUGAAUGUGUGCCUUUGCUGCUGUAACCAAUCACAGGGCUCCAAACUAAAAAAUAGAGUAAGGAGCCAUUGGCUUCUAUAAGAAAAAACGUAGGCGCCAAAUUAUUUUUUUUAGGUGCCACAAAACGUGUUUUAUGUAUUUUAUUAUUAUUAUUAUUAUUAUUAUUUUUACUAUUUUAACUUUUUCUAUCAUACUGUCAUUGGCCACUGAGUGUAGUUUGGGCUCCUCCUCAAUGCAUUCUGUAAA
rnacentral:lncRNA from 1 species